UACAGAGGGUGCGAGCGUUAAUCGGAAUUACUGGGCGUAAAGGGCGCGUAGGCGGUUAUAUGAGUGUGAUGUGAAAGCCCCGGGCUUAACCUGGGAAGUGCAUUGCAAACUGUAUAGCUGGAGUAUAUGAGAGGGUGGCGGAAUUUCCGGUGUAGCGGUGAAAUGCGUAGAGAUCGGAAGGAACGUCAAUGGCGAAGGCAGCCACCUGGCAUAAUACUGACGCUGAGGCGCGAAAGCAUGGGGAGCGAACAGG
rnacentral:rRNA from 1 species